UGAUGCGAUCAUACCAGCACUAAAGCACCGAAUCCCAUUAGAACACCGAAGUUAAGCGUGCUUGGGCGAGAGUAGUAUUAGGAUGGGUGACCUCUUGAGAAGUCCUCGUGUUGCAUUUC
rnacentral:rRNA from 1 species